rnacentral:piRNA from 1 species
UGGUGUCCCAUGCACAGUGAUUCCGGUUA